UGCGCUCUAAAGAGAGAGAUGCACCAUUUCACAACUUCAGCAAAAACCAAAGCAGCCAACAAAGCCACAGCCACCUCGGCUGUGCUGGGCUCUGCCUUUUGGGCAGCUCACCGGCCACUCCCCAGAAGCAGAUCAUUCUGUCCUUUCUCUUUAAACUCACGACAUCAUCUGAUCAGAAUGGAAAUCAGUCUCUUCAAGCUACCACGCAAAGGCGUAUCCAUGGCAACCUCAAGAGGAAGGACACAGAGAUGAUGCUCCAGUGACUGCAGCAGGAAAAGGGUCAUUAAAUCAAAUGAGAUCACACCUGUGCAAAGUUCUGUAAUCUGCAAAGUUGGAUAUAAAUACAAGGCAUUACUGUUGUCACCAACCUAAGUCCUCUAUUACUGACAUAUGAAGCUGAGUUUGUCCCCUUUCCUACUUCCAAGCACCUUGUACACUGCAAAUAUAUCCUCUAAAGGUAAGCAUACCCUCUAAAAUACUGCUGUUCAUACACUCAUCUGCCUAACAUCUUUUACUGGCAUCUCACUUCUUGCUGUAAUCUAACCAGCCUGGAUUUGACACAGGUAGUCUCAGCUCUGCAUUACUGUCAGCUUAGGAUGCCUUCCCCAAGCCUUCAAAGUCCAGCUAAAGCUCUAGCACAUUUCGUGCAGAACAAAGACAAAUUUAAAAAAAGAAAUUUCCUAAACAUGAUUUUGGAGAGUGUGGUAAGAACAGCUGCCAUCGGAUACAGUAAGAGUCGAGUUUUUAAAGAGGGAUUACACUUCUUGUCUUCUUGUUUCAUUCUAAGAGAUAACCUAGGACCAACAGGAGGGAAGGGACAGAGAUGUAUUUCAGCAACAUAAAGACCUUCCUUAUUGAGCUAUCCCAAGAAUAAAACAACAUGCUGAAUAUAUGGUUAAUUCCACAUUACUGGAAAUGUUCAAGACAAACUGCAAAAUUUACCAAGGUGACAAGAAUAUUUUGUAAAUGGAACUGAGCCAUCACAAGCAUAGCUGGACUAGACUCCCAGCACCGUGGAUCUUGUCUAGUCCUGACUCUCACUAGACAGGUGAAGGGACUCACCGGGGGCUGCAAGCAGUUUGUUCUGGAGAAGAGGGAGAACACCCUCUCUUUCGACCCAGUGGUCUACACCCGUGCUACGACGAGUGCGGUCCAUGGGGCCAGCAGCAUUAGCAUCACCUGAGAACUUGUCAGAGCUGCGGAGUCGACACCUGUCUUUUAACAGGACCCUACUCAACAUAUGCACCGUUAAAAUUCGAAAAGCACUGACCCUCACUGUCCCUUCCAAACCUCGAGUUUCUAAUUCUGGAACCGUGCUUCUCAAACUGCUCCAGAUGUUAAACAGAGGCACAAGCCCGGAAGGGCAGUGUUAACAGGAAGAUUUGGAAAACUCCCCAUGCCUGCUCUCAGUUGAUUUAUGGUAAGCACCAUUAGCAUAGUGAAGGCUCUGAAAUACUCUGCAGGGCAGAAAACUUUAACCACAAAUUUUCCAAGCAUAUUUGAGUGCAAAAUGUCUCUCUCAAAAAUAAAGCUCAGCAUCUCUUCUGACAUCCCACAGCUCAGGCUGCACAGCAACACACGGUCAAGAGUGUCGCACGGUUCCUGUCACUGUCGGUACCGGCACCGCGGGCUUGCUCCGCGCAGUCAAUGAGGGUAAGUUGCUAAGUCGCGGCCCCCUGACAACGGGCAGAGCUCCCUGUCCUUGCGAGCCGGCGGCGGCCGCGCCUCAAGACCCGGGAUGCGCAGCACCGCUGCUCCAGGGUCCCCUUCCCAGCUCGGGCGGACCCAGGACGGGAAGGACUCACACCCCAAGCACUCAUCCAGAUCCCCAGCUUAAAUCAGUCCUCUGGGAUUGCUUUUCGUGUGACACGUUUCUCCACAAGCGCCCACACAGAGCCUGCGGCUCUGAGCGGGUUCAGGGGUGCAGCGGACGCUCCCAGCAAAGGGGGGGGGGGGGUUGCAGUUCUGGAGGGACGCGGAGGCGCAGUCACUCUGACUCCGGCAGAACAGUGUCAGGUGGAAGAGCUCAAGUGGGUGGGGGGAGGCUGGGCUCAAACACUCGGGGGGAGCCCCCCAGACCGGGGCGAACGCCCACCCCUUCCGCGGCCCAGCCCCGUCAGCCCCCGCCCCGCACAUCGAGCGCCAUGCUGCGCCCUAAGCCAGUGACGAGCUCCCGGCCCACCGCCCGCAACCUCGUAAACACUUGGGGGCGGCGGAGCAGACGGUUGGCAGGGUCGCCGCCUCCGUACCUGUCCUGUCAGGGGCUCCGCGCCCGGCUCGGGCCACACCGGCGACCGACGCCCAAGACCCUGCGGGGCGCGCCCCGCCCUCAUGGGCUGCCCGACGCGCCGCCUGACCCCUCCAGUACCUCCCCAGAACCCCCCACCCCUCGGGCCCAGAGGCACUCUGGGUCCGGGGUGCACGGUACUCUUUACUGCAGUCCCAACCGGACUGACAACUCCGCACCGAGCACUGUCGCGAUCACAUCGAUCAGGCACAAAACUGGACACCUGGGGCGUGAUGUGCGCAUGCGUAUUGUGCCUGGGAGGCCUAUUUAGGCGCAUAAAGGAGAGGAUCGUCGUGGCGAACGCCCUCUGUCGGAGCAGAGGAGACAGCGCAGAGGAGCUGGAAGUGCAAGCUUCUGAGUGCUAAUUAAAACAGGAGUGAUAAAUCAUAUCUUGUCGGUUAGCUUGGGAAAAAAAUAAAUUUUGAUGCUACUCAGUGUUAUACAUCAUGUGCAGAUACAUUCUAAUAUGCUUGUAAUGAAGAUGUAAAAUAACACAAAUUUAUAUAAUGCCAUUUUGGCUUUUUUAUAUUAAAAGAAACAUUGAACAAUAAACUUCUUGACCCAAUGUACCCUCUUCCAAAAAUGAAGCCUUAAAAAACGGAUCACGUGGGGCCGGCGGCGAAGCGGAUUAAAGCCCCAGCCUACAGUACUGGCAUCCAUGUGGGCGCCAGUUUGAGUCCCAGCUGCUCCACUUCUGAUCCAGCUCCUUGCUAACGUGCCUUGGAAAAGCAACAGAAGAUGGCCAAAGUGUCUGGGCCCCUGCCAUUCACAUGAGAUACCCAGAAGAAGCUGCUGGCUUCGGAUUUGCUCAGCUCUGGCUGUUUCGGCCAUUUGGGGAGUGAACCAGCAGAUGGAAGACCUCUUUCUCUCUCUGUUCUACCUCUCUCUCUGUAACUCUUUCAAAUAAAUAAAUUAAAAAAAAAAAAAAA